GUGAGUGUGGGCAUGUUUUUGUGACAUAUCAGGACACAGCUCUGUAUAAUGUCAUGGGUAUGACACAGGUAUUACAAGGAGAGGGUGACUUAUGAGGACAUAACCAUGUCCCCAUUUUUCAAAACACUUAUAAAUCAUACAGAAUGAUUUUUUUGAGAAAGUAAAAAUGCACAAAGUUUCCUGUGAGGGUUAGGGUUAGGUGUAGGGUUGGUGAAGGGACAUAGAAUAUACAGUUUCUACAGAAUAAAAACCAUUACAC